rnacentral:rRNA from 1 species
AGAGUUUGAUCCUGGCUCAGGAUGAACGCUGGCGGCGUGCCUAACACAUGCAAGUCGAACGAGCAAAUACAUUUGAUUUCUUCGGAAUGAAGAUGUAGGCGCGAGUGGCGGACGGGUGAGUAACGCGUGAGUAAUCUGCCUCAUACAGGAGAAUAACACUAAGAAAUUGGUGCUAAUACUCCAUAAGCUCACAUUAUGACAUCAUAGAGUGAGAAAAGAUUUAUCGGUAUGAGAGGAGCUCGCGUCUGAUUAGCUAGUUGGUGGGGUAACGGCCUACCAAGGCAACGAUCAGUAGCCGACCUGAGAGGGUGAUCGGCCACAUUGGAACUGAGACACGGUCCAAACUCCUACGGGAGGCAGCAGUGGGGAAUAUUGCACAAUGGGGGAAACCCUGAUGCAGCAACGCCGCGUGAGUGAAGAAGUAUUUCGGUAUGUAAAGCUCUAUCAGCAGGGAAGAAAAUGACGGUACCUGACUAAGAAGCACCGGCUAAAUACGUGCCAGCAGCCGCGGUAAUACGUAUGGUGCAAGCGUUAUCCGGAUUUACUGGGUGUAAAGGGUGAGUAGGCGGUCAUGCAAGUCAUAUGUGAAAUGUCAGGGCUUAACCUUGGCGCUGCAUAAGAAACUGUAUGACUAGAGUGCAGGAGAGGUAAGCGGAAUUCCUAGUGUAGCGGUGAAAUGCGUAGAUAUUAGGAAGAACACCGGUGGCGAAGGCGGCUUACUGGACUGUUACUGACGCUGAGUCACGAAAGCGUGGGGAGCAAACAGGAUUAGAUACCCUGGUAGUCCACGCCGUAAACGAUGAGUGCUAGGUGUUGGCCAGAGAUGGUCGGUGCCGCAGCAAACGCAAUAAGCACUCCACCUGGGGAGUACGACCGCAAGGUUGAAACUCAAAGGAAUUGACGGGGACCCGCACAAGCGGUGGAGCAUGUGGUUUAAUUCGAAGCAACGCGAAGAACCU